rnacentral:rRNA from 1 species
AACGAACGCUGGCGGCAUGCCUAACACAUGCAAGUCGAACGAAGGCUUCGGCCUUAGUGGCGCACGGGUGCGUAACGCGUGGGAAUCUGCCCUUGGGUUCGGAAUAACAGCGGGAAACUGCUGCUAAUACCGGAUGAUGACGUAAGUCCAAAGAUUUAUCGCCCAAGUAUGAGCCCGCGUAGGAUUAGCUAGUUGGUGGGGUAAAGGCCCACCAAGGCGACGAUCCUUAGCUGGUCUGAGAGGAUGAUCAGCCACACUGGGACUGAGACACGGCCCAGACUCCUACGGGAGGCAGCAGUGGGGAAUAUUGGACAAUGGGCGAAAGCCUGAUCCAGCAAUGCCGCGUGAGUGAUGAAGGCCUUAGGGUUGUAAAGCUCUUUUACCCGGGAUGAUAAUGACAGUACCGGGAGAAUAAGCUCCGGCUAACUCCGUG